rnacentral:rRNA from 1 species
ACCAGUACCGUGAGGGAAAGGCGAAAAGAACCCCUGUGAGGGGAGUGAAAUAGAACCUGAAACCGUGUGCGUACAAGCAGUGGGAGCCUUAAUUUAUUAGGGUGACCGCGUACCUUUUGUAUAAUGGGUCAGCGACUUAUAUUCUGUAGCAAGGUUAACCGUUUAGGGGAGCCGUAGGGAAACCGAGUCUUAAUAGGGCGAUUAGUUGCAGGGUAUAGACCCGAAACCGAGUGAUCUAUCCAUGAGCAGGUUGAAAGUGCCGUAACAGGCACCGGAGGACCGAACCCACUGUCGUUGAAAAGCCAGGGGAUGACUUGUGGAUAGGGGUGAAAGGCUAAUCAAACUCGGUGAUAGCUGGUUCUCCCCGAAAGCUAUUUAGGUAGCGCCUCGGACGAACACCAUUGGGGGUAGAGCACUGUUUCGGCUAGGGGGUCAUACCGACUUACCAAACCGAUGCAAACUCCGAAUACCGAUGAGUGAUAUCCGGGAGACACACAGUGGGUGCUAACGUCCAUUGUGGAGAGGGAAACAACCCAGACCGCCAGCUAAGGCCCCAAAUUCCUAGUUAAGUGGGAAACGAGGUGGGAAGGCAUAGACAGCUAGGAGGUUGGCUUAGAAGCAGCCAUCCUUUAAAGAAAGCGUAAUAGCUCACUGGUCGAGUCGGUCUGCGCGGAAGAUGUAACGGGGCUAAGCGAUGUACCGAAGCUGCGGGUGCAUAGCAAUAUGCGCGGUAGAGGAGCGUUCCGUAAGCCUGCGAAGGUGACUCGUAAGGGUUGCUGGAGGUAUCGGAAGUGCGAAUGCUGACAUGAGUAACGACAAAGAGUGUGAAAGACACUCUCGCCGAAAGUCCAAGGGUUCCUGCGUAAAGUUAAUCUGCGCAGGGUUAGCCGGCCCCUAAGGCGAGGCCGAAAGGCGUAGUCGAUGGGAAAUCGGUUAAUAUUCCGAUACUUGUUUAUAAUGCGAUGGAGGGACGGAGUAGGUUAUGUCAGCCUGGCGUUGGUUGUCCAGGUGAAAGGAUGUAGGCUUACAGUUUAGGCAAAUCCGGACUGUAAUACGGCUGAGAUCUGAUAGCAAGCGGUACUUGUACCGUGAAGUGGCAAAUACCAUGCUUCCAGGAAAAGCUUCUAAGCAAUAGUUAUAAACGAAUCGUACCCUAAACCGACACAGGUGAUCAGGUAGAGAAUACCAAGGCGCUUGAGAGAACUCUGCUGAAGGAACUAGGCAAAAUGGUACCGUAACUUCGGGAGAAGGUACGCUGCCGAUGGUGAUAGGACUUGCUCCUUGAGCUGUUGGCAGUCGCAGAUACCAGGCUGCUGCAACUGUUUAUUAAAAACACAGCACUCUGCAAACACGAAAGUGGACGUAUAGGGUGUGAUGUCUGCCCGGUGCUGGAAGGUUAAUUGAUGGGGUUAGCGUAUGCGAAGCUCUUGAUCGAAGCCCCAGUAAACGGCGGCCGUAACGAUAACGGUCCUAAGGUAGCG